GGCCAGUUAGCUCAGUUGGUUAAAGCGUGGUGCUAAUAGUCGUGGGUUCUAUCCCCAUAUGGGCCA
rnacentral:tRNA from 1 species